AGUAACACGUGGGUAACCUGCCCCUCGCAGAGGGAUAACCGGGGGAAACCCCAGCUAAUACCUCGUACGCUUGCCGGGUCGCAUGUCGGUAAGGAAAGGUAGUUUCGGCCAUCCGGCGAGGGAUGGGCCCGCGGUCCAUUAGCUAGUUGGUGGGGUAACGGCCCACCAAGGCGACGAUGGAUAGCUGGUCUGAGAGGAUGAUCAGCCACACUGGGACUGAGACACGGCCCAGACUCCUACGGGAGGCAGCAGUCGGGAAUCUUGCGCAAUGGGCGAAAGCCUGACGCAGCAACACCGUGUGGGCGACGAAGGCCUUCGGGUCGUAAAGCCCUGUUGUUGGGGACGAAGGACGAAGGGUUAAUAGCCCCUAGUCUGACGGUACCCUUCGAGGAAGCCCCGGCUAACUACGUGCCAGCCGCCGCGG
rnacentral:rRNA from 1 species